AUUGAACGCUGGCGGCAGGCCUAACACAUGCAAGUCGAGCGGAUGAAGGGAGCUUGCUCCUGGAUUCAGCGGCGGACGGGUGAGUAAUGCCUAGGAAUCUGCCUGGUAGUGGGGGAUAACGUCCGGAAACGGGCGCUAAUACUGCAUACGUCCUGAGGGAGAAAGUGGGGGAUCUUCGGACCUCACGCUAUCAGAUGAGCCUAGGUCGGAUUAGCUAGUUGGUGGGGUAAAGGCCUACCAAGGCGACGAUCCGUAACUGGUCUGAGAGGAUGAUCAGUCACACUGGAACUGAGACACGGUCCAGACUCCUACGGGAGGCAGCAGUGGGGAAUAUUGGACAAUGGGCGAAAGCCUGAUCCAGCCAUGCCGCGUGUGUGAAGAAGGUCUUCGGAUUGUAAAGCACCUUAAGUUGGGAGGAAGGGCAGUAAGUUAAUACCUUGCUGUUUUGACGUUACCAACAGAAUAAGCACCGGCUAACUUCGUG
rnacentral:rRNA from 1 species